rnacentral:misc_RNA from 1 species
UCCAGGUUGUCCCUGGCGGUCUCCUGCGAGUGCCCCCUUGCGGAGUUGCAACACAGGACGAGGGUUGCGCUCGUUGCGGGACUUAACCCAACAUCUCACGACACGAGCUGACGACAGCCAUGCAGCACCUCGACCGGACUCCCUUGCGGGAUAGAGGUGUUUCCACCCCCGUUGACCGGCCGUUCGAGCCCAGGUAAGGUUCUUCGCGUUGCGUCGAAUUGAACCACAUGCUCCACCGCUUGUGCGGGCCCCCGUCAAUUCCUUUGAGUUUCAGCCUUGCGACUGUACUCCCCAGGCGGCGCACUUAACGCGUUAGCUCCGGCACGGAUGAACUGAAUCACCCACACCAAGUGCGCAUCGUUUAGGGCGUGGACUAC